GAUGAACGCUGGCGGCGUGCCUAAUACAUGCAAGUCGAGCGAACGGACGAGAAGCUUGCUUUUCUGAUGUUAGCGGCGGACGGGUGAGUAACACGUGGAUAACCUACCUAUAAGACUGGGAUAACUUCGGGAAACCGGAGCUAAUACCGGAUAAUAUUUUGAACCGCAUGGUUCAAAAGUGAAAGACGGUCUUGCUGUUACUUAUAGAUGGAUCCGCGCUGCAUUAGCUAGUUGGUAAGGUAACGGCUUACCAAGGCAACGAUGCAUAGCCGACCUGAGAGGGUGAUCGGCGACACGGGAAGGGGGCCAGGGACAAGACUCCUACGGGAGGCAGCAGUAGGGAACCGUCGGCAAUGGGCGAAAGCCUGACGGAGCAGCGCGGCGUGAGUGAUGAAGGUCUUCGGAUCGUAAAACUCUGUUAUGAGGGAAGAACAUAUGUGUAAUUAACUGUGCACAUCUUGACGGUACCUAAUCAGAAAGCAACGGCUAACUACGUG
rnacentral:rRNA from 1 species